CCUACGGGAGACAGCAGUAGGGAAUUUUCGUCAAUGGGCGCAAGCCUGAACGCGCGAUGCCGCGUGAGUGAAGAAGGCCUUCGGGUCGUAAAGCUCUGUUGCGGGGGAAAAAAGGCAGCAUCAGGAAAUGGGUGCUGACUGAUGGUGCCCCGCCAGAAAGUCACGGCUAACUACGUGCCAGCAGCCGCGGUAAUACGUAGGUGGCGAGCGUUAUCCGGAAGGAUUGGGCGUAAAGGGUGCGCAGGCGGUCCUGCAAGUCUGGAGUGAAACGCAUGAGCUCAACUCAUGCAUGGCUUUGGAAACUGGAGGACUGGAGAGCAGGAGAGGGCGGUGGAACUCCAUGUGUAGCGGUAAAAUGCGUAGAUAUAUGGAAGAACACCAGUGGCGAAGGCGGCCGCCUGGCCUGUUGCUGACGCUGAGGCACGAAAGCGUGGGGAGCAAAUAGGAUUAGAUACCCUUGUAGUC
rnacentral:rRNA from 1 species